CAUGGCCUCUAAGGAAGCUGCAGCUGCUUCUACAUCGCUGCUGUUGUCAAACGGGGGCAGUUACAUUUUUUUCGUUUUUUUUUUUUUCCCGUGACAGUCAUGCUUCUGUUUGCUGUAACUGAUUUGUAACAUUUUCGAAAAAGACAAUU